UACGUAGGGGGCUAGCGUUAUCCGGAAUCACUGGGCGUAAAGCGUGCGUAGGUGGCGUGUUAAGUGUGAUGUUAAAUCGUGUGGCUCAACCAUAUCGAUGUGUCGCAUACUGGCAUGCUAGAGGACAGCAGAGGCAAGUGGAAUUAGUAGUGUAGCAGUGAAAUGCGUAGAUAUUACUAGGAACACCAAUGGCGAAGGCAGCUUGCUGGGCUACUCCUGACACUGAGGUACGAAAGCGUGGGGAGCGAACAGG
rnacentral:rRNA from 1 species